CCAGCAGCCGCGGUAAUUCCAGCUCCAAUAGCGUAUAUUAAAGUUGUUGCAGUUAAAAAGCUCGUAGUUGAAUUUCUGGAAAGUUCAUGCUGACUGGUUUUGACCGGUCAUGUAUGUCCUUUCCAUCCUCACGGGGAAGGCCCAGUUCUAGCAAUAGUCUGGUGUCCGGAACCGUGUCAUUUACUGUGAAAAAAUUAGAGUGUUUAAAGCAGGCGUUUUCGCUUGAAUACAUUAGCAUGGAAUAAUAAGAUAGGACUUCGGUCUAUUUUGUUGGUUGCGGCCCGAGGUAAUGAUUAAUAGGGAUAGUUGGGGGUAUUCAUAUUUAAUUGUCAGAGGUGAAAUUCUUGGAUUUAUUAAAGAUGAACGACUGC
rnacentral:rRNA from 1 species